rnacentral:rRNA from 1 species
GACGAACCGUGCGAACGUUGUUCGGAAUCACUGGGCUUAAAGGGCGCGUAGGCGGCCGGGUUGGUCGUGGGUGAAAUCCCCCAGCUUAACUGGGGAACUGCCUACGAUACUGCCUGGCCCGAGGGAGGAAGGGGCGGUCGGAACUGUCGGUGGAGCGGUGAAAUGCGUUGAUAUCGACAGGAACGCCGGUGGCGAAAGCGGACCGCUGGCCCUCUUCUGACGCUGAGGCGCGAAAGCCAGGGGAGCGAACGGG